AAGAGGAAGAAAUGGCAGAAAAGAAAAAAAAUUAUAUCAUUUAAAACAAUGCCAUAUAUUCAAAUCAUAGUUCUCUCAUGGCUAACAUUGAACCAAAAGAACUUCAUUAUCUUAAAGAUGAAAUAAUACUGAUUUUUUUAAAACUCAGCUGUUCCAAUAAAGACUCUUUGUACUUAUUUAUCAAUUGUAAGAAGCUGUUUUAGACGUGUUCAAAGUAUUGCUUUAAAUUUACUUCUUGAAUGCCAUUAGAGAGCAAAGUGGAAGAGAAAGGUACAUUAAAACAGAGAGGGAAAGGGUAGGAAGGUAAACGAAAGAAAAGGAAACAGAAUGACUAAGCCUAACAGUCUGCUUUAUUUUGCUAUGAAUGAGUAUUGCCACAUUUCUACAUUUCUUGGGACAUCAUUAUAAACAUUAGUCUAUUGUUACAAUACAUUUAUACCCUGGUGUUAAUUUUUCUUUAUUAAAUAGAAAGUGAAUUAAAGAGUAAAUGAAAAUACGAUUGACAUUUGCUAAAAGUGAAGAACUCCUAUAAAGACCGUGAAGUCUUAAAAAAAAGUUUUUUUUUUUAUUUCCAUAGGUUUUUGGGGAACAGGUGGUAUUUGCUUGUACAGGAGGCCAGCAAUGCAACCCUACCAUGACCAACCAGACUCUUCCUUCUGGGAAGCAGAAUUUUGAACAGAAGGCCAACAGACUGGAAAUGCCACGGAAGCCCUAGUCUGGCAGGAAAGAAGAGUCAUUAGGCAUCAUCUGGCAACUUGGCUUGGAGAAGUCAGAUCAGUCACCAAGAGUCUGGUGGGGCUGCAGCAAUGGCUAGAAAGAACCAGUGACAUGAUUGCCAGAUAGAGUGGUCAGAGAAGACCUUUCUGAGGCCAUGGUAUUUAAGAUGAGACUUGAAGAGCAACAAGAAGCUAGACACACAAAGCAGAUAAUUUUUUAAUGGCCAUUUCUGGAGAGAAGUUUCCAAGGGAUGAAGUUAUUAUACAGUUUCCAAAUAUUCCUGAAGAGGUCUAAAGAAAAUGUAUUCUGAUUCCACCUUUUACCUGUUUUCCUUUUUUUUUUUCUCUCUCUCUCUUUUUGGAAUUUGUUAUUUGGAUAUAGGAUACACUAGGCUGGUGCUCCAAUUUUCUUAUAUUUUCUGUUUUCCUUGAAGUUUUAGGGGACUUUCUGAACUUUAUUUUUCAAAAUUCAGUUGAGUCUUUAUUGUUUUCCAAAUAUCAACAUUUCUUACCCAGACUAAUGAACUAGCCUACUCACUCAUCUUUCUGAUCCUAUUCCUCUAUAUUAUCCACCCCAAUCCCAAGUUAAUUCUUGUAUGGUCUUUUUGAAAGACUGCAUGAGGUUUUUUGUUUUUAUUUCUGCUUAAAUUAUUUGCUGAUUUAUUUGCACUUAGGAUACAGGCCUAAAUCCUUAGCUUUGCUGACAUCAUGAAAGAUGUGGGCCCUCCCUAGCACUCCAGUUUCAUCUUACAUCAUGCCACUCUUUGGUACUUUAUCCUUACUGUCCAGCUUCAUUUCCUAGAGUGUCCUGUGACCCUCUUGACUCAGAGCCUCUGCACGUGCUGUUCCCUGUGUUUGUCUCCUUUGUCCAGCUCUACCAACUUCCUUUAUCUCUCAGUGUUCAGGUGUCAUCUCAUCUCCAGCAUGAAUUAGAUGUCUUAUCUUGUGCUUCUCAUUGGGCUAUACUGUAAUGCUUAGCACAUUAGUCAGUUCCCUCAUUGCUAUAAAGAAAUACCUGAGGCUGGGUAAUUUAUAAAGAAAGGAGGUUUAAUUGG
rnacentral:lncRNA from 1 species